rnacentral:rRNA from 1 species
UACGGAGGAUGCGAGCGUUAUCCGGAUUUAUUGGGUUUAAAGGGUGCGCAGGCGGCUUGUCAAGUCAGCGGUCAAAAUGCGGUGCUCAACGCCGUACCGCCGUUGAAACUGGCCGGCUCGAGUUCGUGGGAUGUGCGCGGAAUGCGCGGUGUAGCGGUGAAAUGCAUAGAUAUCGCGCAGAACCCCGAUUGCGAAGGCAGCGUCCAACCACGCGACUGACGCUCAUGCACGAAAGCGUGGGUAUC